UCUUCGGCAAUGGGCGCAAGCCUGACCGAGCGACGCCGCGUGCGGGAUGAAGGCCUUCGGGUUGUAAACCGCUGUCGUAGAGGAGGAAAUGCAGGGGGGUUCUCCCUUCUGUUUGACCUAUUCUAGGAGGAAGUACGGGCUAAGUUCGUGCCAGCAGCCGCGGUAAGACGAACCGUACAAACGUUACUCGGAAUUACUGGGCUUAAAGGGUGCGUAGGCUGCGCGGAAAGUUGGGUGUGAAAGCCCUCGGCUCAACCGAGGAAUUGCACUCAAAACUACCGUGCUUGAGGGAGACAGAGGUAAGCGGAACUCAAGGUGGAGCGGUGAAAUGCGUUGAUAUCUUGAGGAACACCGGUGGCGGAGGCGGCUUACUGGGUCUUUUCUGACGCUGAGGCACGAAAGCUAAGGUAGCAAACGGGAUUAGAUACCCCGGUAGUCUUAGCUGUAAACGAUGAGCACUUGAUUGGAGGGUCCUCCAUAGCCUUCCAGUCGUAGCGAAAGUGUUAAGUGCUCCGCCUGGGGA
rnacentral:rRNA from 1 species